AUAAUGACGCAGCUAAUGAGGUACUAACCGAGGCGCGUCUAUUGCUGGUUGAAAACUAUUUCCAAACCCCCUCAUGGGCCUGGGCUUGACCUAUGGCCUUUGAGAAUUUCUGGAAGGGCUCCCUUCGGGGUAAAGCCCUACAAAUCUUAAGUUCAAAUUGUUUCUAUCCUUGGUAAGUUAUAUUAUUAAUAUAGGGUUUGGUCAUUGUAAAGAUUGAGAAUCGUAAUGUAUUUGGGGGAGUCAAAUUAAAUGUAUUUGGGUGAGUCAAAUUAGGUGAAUUCUCAAAAGGAAGAAAAUACGCA